rnacentral:rRNA from 1 species
GACGAACGCUGGCGGCGUGCUUAACACAUGCAAGUCGAACGGAAAGGCCCUGCUUUUUUGUGGUGCUCGAGUGGCGAACGGGUAAGUAACACGUGAGUAACCUGCCCUUGACUUUGGGAUAACUUCAGGAAACUGGGGCUAAUACCGGAUAGGAGCUCCUGCUGCAUGGUGGGUGUUGGAAAGUUUCGGCGGUUGGGGAUGGACUCGCGGCUUAUCAGCUUGUUGGUGGGGUAGUGGCUUACCAAGGCUUUGACGGGUAGCCGGACUGAGAGGGUGACCGGCCACAUUGGGACUGAGAUACGGCCCAGACUCAUACGGGAGGAAGGAGUGGGGAAUAUUGCACAAUGGGCGGCAGCCUGAUGCAGCAACGCCGCGUGCGGGAUGACGGCCUUAGGGUUGUAAACCGCUUUCGCCUGUGACGAAGCGUGAGUGACGGUAAUGGGUAAAGAAGCACCGGCUAACUACGU